rnacentral:misc_RNA from 1 species
UCUCCGUAGGUGAACCUGCGGAGGGAUCAUUACAGAGUUCUCGCCCUCGCGGGUAGAUCUCCCACCCACUGUUAUCGUUACUGUGUUGCUUUGGCGGGCCGCCGGGCCCCGCUCGGCCGCCGGCUCCGGCUGGCGCGCGCCCGCCAGAGGCCCAGCAAACUCUGAAGGUUAGUGUCGUCUGAGUACUAUAUAAUAGUUAAAACUUUCAACAACGGAUCUCUUGGUUCUG